rnacentral:rRNA from 1 species
GACGAACGCUGGCGGCGUGCCUAAUACAUGCAAGUAGAACGCUGAAGGAGGAGCUUGCUUCUCUGGAUGAGUUGCGAACGGGUGAGUAACGCGUAGGUAACCUGCCUGGUAGCGGGGGAUAACUAUUGGAAACGAUAGCUAAUACCGCAUAAUAGUAGAUGUUGCAUGACAUUUGCUUAAAAGGUGCAAUUGCAUCACUACCAGAUGGACCUGCGUUGUAUUAGCUAGUUGGUGGGGUAACGGCUCACCAAGGCGACGAUACAUAGCCGACCUGAGAGGGGGAUCGGCCACACUGGGACGGGGACACGGCCCAGACUCCUACGGGAGGCAGCAGUAGGGAAUCUUCGGCAAUGGACGGAAGUCUGACCGAGCAACGCCGCGUGAGUGAAGAAGGUUUUCGGAUCGUAAAGCUCUGUUGUAAGGGAAGAACGAGUGUGAGAGUGGAAAGUUCACACUGUGACGGUAUCUUACCAGAAAGGAACGGCUAACUACGUG